rnacentral:rRNA from 1 species
UACGUAGGUGGCAAGCGUUGUCCGGAAUUAUUGGGCGUAAAGCGCGCGCAGGCGGUCCUCUAAGUCUGCUGUGAAAGCCCACGGCUCAACCGUGGAGGGUCAUUGGAAACUGGGGGACUUGAGUGCAGAAGAGGAAAGCGGAAUUCCACGUGUAGCGGUGAAAUGCGUAGAGAUGUGGAGGAACACCAGUGGCGAAGGCGGCUUUCUGGUCUGUAACUGACGCUGAGGCGCGAAAGCGUGGGGAGCAAACAGG